rnacentral:rRNA from 1 species
AUUGAACGCUGGCGGCAGGCCUAACACAUGCAAGUCGAGCGGAUGAAGGGAGCUUGCUCCUGGAUUCAGCGGCGGACGGGUGAGUAAUGCCUAGGAAUCUGCCUGGUAGUGGGGGAUAACGUCCGGAAACGGGCGCUAAUACCGCAUACGUCCUGAGGGAGAAAGUGGGGGAUCUUCGGACCUCACGCUAUCAGAUGAGCCUAGGUCGGAUUAGCUAGUUGGUGGGGUAAAGGCCUACCAAGGCGACGAUCCGUAACUGGUCUGAGAGGAUGAUCAGUCACACUGGAACUGAGACACGGUCCAGACUCCUACGGGAGGCAGCAGUGGGGAAUAUUGGACGAGGGGCGAAAGCCUGAUCCAGCCAUGCCGCGUGUGUGAAGAAGGUCUUCGGAUUGUAAAGCACUUUAAGUUGGGAGGAAGGGCAGUAAGUUAAUACCUGGCUGUUUUGACGUUACCAACAGAAUAAGCACCGGCUAACUUCGUG